CCUACGGGUGGCAGCAGUGAGGAAUAUUGGUCAAUGGACGCAAGUCUGAACCAGCCAUGCCGCGUGCAGGAAGACGGCUCUAUGAGUUGUAAACUGCUUUUGUACGAGAGUAAACGCAGAUACGUGUAUCUGUCUGAAAGUAUCUUACGAAUAAGGAUCGGCUAACUCCAUGCCAGCAGCCGCGGUAAUACGGAGGAUUCAAGCGUUAUCCGGAUUUAUUGGGUUUAAAGGGUGCGUAGGCGGUCGGAUAAGUUAGAGGUGAAAUCCCGAGGCUCAACUUCGGAAUUGCCUCUGAUACUGUUCGGCUAGAGAGUAGUUGCGGUAGGCGGAAUGUAUGGUGUAGAGGGGAAAUGCUUAGAGAUCAGACAGAACACCGAUUGCGAAGGCAGCUUAACAAGCUAC
rnacentral:rRNA from 1 species